CCGCUCCCGCUGGUGCCCGCGCGUCCCUCGGCAGGCCGGGAACACCGGGAAUACCGGGAACACCGGGAGUACCAGGUACUUUCUGGCUCAGUAGACUGCUGUCUCACCAUUUCAAUGCUUCAAAGUGAUGGUGCUGGGAAUUGUCAGCUCUGAAGACAAGGUUACCUCACAGAAGCCGGAUGUGUUGUGUAAAAUGCUGAUUUAUAAAAGUGUUACAGUCUGUAAUCUUGCAGGUAGAAUUGCAUGCAUUAUAUGAUCAGAAGUACGUAGAGGAUUAAUGUGCCAGUGCUUAUUUUAAAGCAUCAUGUUGUCUCUAAAGGUGAGGGUGCCAGAGAUGUACGGGAGCAGAAGCCAGAAGGUGCAUCUUCCAACCCACCAGCCUGGAGAAGCUGUGGCAAAGCAAUCCUGUACCCUGGUAACAAACCCCCAGGACCUAACCCUCACCACAGCCUUGCUGGGAGCGAAUGAUGCUUCUUUGUGCGGCAGGAGGACUCGUAUGUCACCGCCCGGAGGAGCGGAGCGGAGCGAUUGGCCGGGUGAAUUAUCUGCCUUGUUGCAGUGAAUUAUUUGCGCUGUUUCCUUUCCCAGUCAACAAGUUUCUGAGCUUGACUUUGAAUUUCCUUAAGUGCCAGAGCGAGGAUACGAUGCUGGGUAGUGCAUUGCCGUGCGCUAUAUUUAGAAAGCAGCUGGAAGAGAAAAUGUCCUCAGGAAUCCGGACUGUUUUGUUGUAAAUGUCCCUCCAGUCCCGGCGCUGUACACGUAAACGCUCUGCAGACGUGUCAGCGCUUCGCACGACCUGGGAGCGCUGGGUAAGGACGGGCUCGGGGAGGCACCGCUGACCCCACGGCGCUCCCCAGCAGCUUAGGAGUGUCCAGGGCUGCCUGCCCUGGGGUUUAGCCCCCUCUCCGCCCGGGGGAACCCGCAGGUUGCCCCCAUUUUCCCGUGCAGAGCGCCCCAGCCCAGGCUCGGUGCCCGUUUCGGUGCAGCCGAGGGCCGGGUGGCACCGACACUGCUCCCCCCGCCCUGGAGCAGCAGCCCCAGAGCCGCUGCCCGCUCCCUGCCAGCGUGAGGGUCGGUGCUGAACGAGGUCUCGUCCACUGGGACUUGGCCCUUCGGGGAUGUGGACAGGCUUCCCGGGGCAGAGCGUGCCGAGGGGACAUCCCCACCUGGCUGUCAUCCAGCGAGCCCCAGCGGCACCGGAACAGCGCCGGGGUUCGCUCUGCUCCGCCCUGGGCACCCCCCGGCUGCCCCGAGCCCCUGAGCUCUGCCCGCUGCCCAGACGGCACAGAGGGGACAGACGCGUGCGAGCCCUUCCUGCGGGCCCGGCUCCUCGGUGGGCACAGGAGGGCGGGUCCCAGCUGAGAGCAGGGCCAGCGCCAGCUCCGAGGGCGGGGCUUCCCUCCCGUCCACCCACCCAGGCCCCCCGCGAUCCCGCGGCCAAGGGGGACGAGUCAGUGUGGGCGGGCGGGAAAGUGAAGAAGUCAACGCCUCGUAAGGCCGGAGGAGACCAUUAAAUCACCUGGCUGACCUCCCGCGUCACAGGGCCCUGCUAUUCCAUCCAGUCCUAAGGCACUGAGCCAAAUCAUCUGUGUUCGAGUAAAAUGUGCCUACAACAAAGUCUCGUGGUCCUUAGGAUUUCAAGGGAUGGAGAUGUUGCUCUUGUCCCGAAGAGUUUGUUGUGGCAGUUGACCCUUGGUUAAGGGAUGAGCCCCGUUUUCAUGACAUGUUGCCCUUGUCUAAAGCACUCCCAGUUGCCAGGCUUUUAUUUUGGAACCUGCUAGUCCCGUUGUUGCAACUAUGGCCACCUCGGCUUUCCCCUUCCUUUCACACAGGUAUGGUGCCUGGUGUUUCACAGAUGAGGGCCUGGCCCCUCCUCGGGCUGCCUGGGGUCUCCUGAGGCAUCCAGCCCCUAAGCCAGGCUGCCUGACUGCGCCAAGGAAGAGUCCCAGCACUUCCAGCCGGGGCAAUGUUGGCGGGCACACCUCGGAGGAGCAGGUCCCAAGCUGCUGGCGCCGUCCCGAGGCUUCUAAUGUGAGGAAAAACACGCGGUGACAAGUGUGGAAAAGAGCAAGCACUAAAUUACUGUCAGAAAAAUAAACGGCGGAGCGCGGCGCGGGGCGGUGAUUUACGGGGGCAAUUAGUCACCGCCCCACGGAGCCGCUGGGGCCGCCGCACAUCCCCGGGGGCUGGCCCGGCUCCGGCUGCUGGCCUCGGCCGGCACCCAGCGCUGGCAUCCAGGGCUCCUGCGGCUCCUUUCCUGCCUGUUCCAAAAACAGGGGUGCGGGAGGAGAGAGGAGCCGCCCCGAAAGCCGCAGCCCCUGUUUGCAGAGAAGAUGGGGGGGCUGCGGGUCUUGGUACUCGUAGUGGCGAGUGGCUGGUGCCCAGGUGUGAGGUGAUCAAAGAAGUGCUAAAGGUACUGUUAAUGAAAAAUGCUCUUGGAGAACAAGGCUGGGAAGCUGCUGGACUGGAUGAGAGGGUGGAGGUGGCUGCACAGAUGCUGCAUGUCUUCUGGAAGUGCUGUGCCCCCCCAGUCCUGGAGGAGGGUCAGCUUUGCUGCCAGCCAGGAGUGGGCAUUAUAAACAUACCUUUAUGCUGUUGUUUCACCAGCGUGGAGUCCAGGAGAGAUGUUUUAAUUUAAAGCUAGCAGAAAAGAAAUAAUGGGCAAUUCAAGCUCUGACUCAGCCUGGGACGAUGGUAGUGAGCCCCCAGUCAUCAUGUUGUGGGGUUCUGUAACUUUUUGGCCCAUCUGUUCUUGUUGACCUAGCAAUCCUUACUUAGUUGGUGCCCUGUAUGUCAAUUUUCAUUUUCUAAGGCCUUAUUGGCCACCUAGGCCUUCUGUCCGUCCCCUGAGCAGGGGGCAGCAUUAUGUGACUUUAGAUGCAUGCUGCCAUUAGACCUGCCAGCCUGGUGUCUGGCUCCUCCAGAUAGUUGGCACUGGGAUAAUGGGGGACAGCCUGUCCGAGCUCGCUGCAGCAGCUGUGCCAGCCAGCCCUGCAAGGACUGGUGCCAGAGCAGGACGAGAGUGCCAGGGCCUGCUCAUCAAACAGACAUCAAACCAGCCCAUGGUGCCCCGUGGGACAAAGGGGAAAGCAGCAGAGCAGGUCCCCCUUGACAUGGCACCUCUUGGGAAAGACAGGCAUGUGUCUGUUGGAAGAGGAUGCAAGCUGGAGGAUGGAGAGCUGGCUCUGACAGGUCCUGAUGGUUUCAGUAAGUGGCCUUCCCUCCCUGCUCCACUUUCCCAGCUGAUGGGUGGGAUGUGAUACCUGCUUUUGGGAAACACUCAAGACUGAAGAAUGGUCACAGGGGCAAAGCAUCAAUGGUUAUUUUGGGGUCUGCCUGUAGCUGCUUCUUUGCCUUCUAGAAGUGGUUUUUGCAGGGCCAUGGGGUGUGUGUGCUCAUGAGAUGCUUCUGGUGCUCCUUUUCUUCACAAGGCACAGUCCUACUUCUCCCCCAAGUUGUUAGGCAACCUCCUAGUAAGUGAUGUGACCAGCACAUCUCUCAUGUAAUUUUCUU